UCCAUCUCUCCUCUCCUGUCUCCUUCCCCAUUCGGCCAGCCAAUAUCACAGCCUCCACUCUCCCAAAUCUUUCCCACUAAUCCCUCUCUCAAGUUCAUUUUCUCAAGCUAGAAGGAAGAAUGAAGUCUAGGAUCCAUCAAGGAGUAACCUUGGGGUAAAGAGAGGAUCUUUGAGCUUUAUUUAGGAGAACUCACCCUCUUGGAACUAUUUGACGGCGUCGAGGAGUUUAUCACAAGACAUAGAGGAUGGACAGGUCUAGUAUGGUGAUGCAUUGGAGCCGGAGUAUUCCCAGCCGGAGUGUCUUCCAGAUGGAGCAGAAGAACAAACUAAAGCUUAGCCAUUUUCUUUUCUAUAGUUGUUGAUGGACACUAGAUUACUUUUGUAGUUCUUUCUCA